rnacentral:tRNA from 1 species
GCCGAGGUGGCGAAAUGGUAGACGCGCUGGACUUAAAAUCCAGUGGGGCUAAAACCUCGUGCGGGUUCAAGUCCCGCCCUCGGCA